CCUACGGGAGGCAGCAGUGGGGAAUAUUGCACAAUGGGGGAAAGGCUGAAGCAGCGACGCCGCGUGAGUGAAGACGUAUUUCGGGAUGUAAAGCUCUAUCAGCAGGGAAGAAAAUGACGGUACCUGAGUAAGAUGCUCCGGCUAAAUACGUGCCAGCAGCCGCGGAAAUACGUAUGGAGCAAGCGUUAUCCGGAUUAACUGGGCGUAAAGGGAGCGUAGGCGGCCUGCCAAGUGUGCUGUGAAAUACCUGGGCCCAACCCCGGGGCGGCAUUGGAAACUGGCAGGCUGGAGUGGAGGAGAGGCAGGCGGAAUUCCUGGUGUAGCGGUGAAAUGCGUAGAUAUUAGGAGGAACACCAGUGGCGAAGGCGGCCUGCUGGACGGUAACUGACGCUGAGGCUCGAAAGCGUGGGGAGCAAACAGGAUUAGAUACCCGGGUAGUC
rnacentral:rRNA from 1 species